UCGGCGUAACAAAUUACGCUCAGCCCGGGG
rnacentral:sRNA from 1 species